rnacentral:rRNA from 1 species
UACGUAGGGUGCGAGCGUUAAUCGGAAUUACUGGGCGUAAAGCGUGCGCAGGCGGUUUUGUAAGCCCGAUGUGAAAUCCCCGGGCUUAACCUGGGAAUGGCAUUUGGGACUGCAAGGCUGGAGUGCGGCAGAGGAGACUGGAAUUCCUGGUGUAGCAGUGAAAUGCGUAGAUAUCAAGUGGAACACCAGUGGCGAAGGCGAAUCCCUGGAAAAUACCUGACACUGAGGCACGAAAGCUAGGGGAGCAAACAGG